UUAAGCGACUAAGCGUACACGGUGGAUGCCCUGGCAGUCAGAGGCGAUGAAGGACGUGCUAAUCUGCGAUAAGCGUCGGUGAGGUGAUAUGAACCGUUAUAACCGGCGAUUUCCGAAUGGGGAAACCCAGUGUGUUUCGACACACUAUCAUUAACUGAAUCCAUAGGUUAAUGAGGCGAACCGGGGGAACUGAAACAUCUAAGUACCCCGAGGAAAAGAAAUCAACCGAGAUUCCCCCAGUAGCGGCGAGCGAACGGGGAGGAGCCCAGAGCCUGAAUCAGUGUGUGUGUUAGUGGAAGCGUCUGGAAAGGCGCGCGAUACAGGGUGACAGCCCCGUACACAAAAAUGCACAUAUUGUGAGCUCGAUGAGUAGGGCGGGACACGUGGUAUCCUGUCUGAAUAUGGGGGGACCAUCCUCCAAGGCUAAAUACUCCUGACUGACCGAUAGUGAACCAGUACCGUGAGGGAAAGGCGAAAAGAACCCCGGCGAGGGGAGUGAAAAAGAACCUGAAACCGUGUACGUACAAGCAGUGGGAGCCUCUUAAUGGGGUGACUGCGUACCUUUUGUAUAAUGGGUCAGCGACUUAUAUUCUGUAGCAAGGUUAACCGAAUAGGGGAGCCGAAGGGAAACCGAGUCUUAACUGGGCGUUAAGUUGCAGGGUAUAGACCCGAAACCCGGUGAUCUAGCCAUGGGCAGGUUGAAGGUUGGGUAACACUAACUGGAGGACCGAACCGACUAAUGUUGAAAAAUUAGCGGAUGACUUGUGGCUGGGGGUGAAAGGCCAAUCAAACCGGGAGAUAGCUGGUUCUCCCCGAAAGCUAUUUAGGUAGCGCCUCGUGAAUUCAUCUCCGGGGUAGAGCACUGUUUCGGCAAGGGGGUCAUCCCGACUUACCAACCCGAUGCAAACUGCGAAUACCGGAGAAUGUUAUCACGGGAGACACACGGCGGGUGCUAACGUCCGUCGUGAAGAGGGAAACAACCCAGACCGCCAGCUAAGGUCCCAAAGUCAUGGUUAAGUGGGAAACGAUGUGGGAAGGCCCAGACAGCCAGGAUGUUGGCUUAGAAGCAGCCAUCAUUUAAAGAAAGCGUAAUAGCUCACUGGUCGAGUCGGCCUGCGCGGAAGAUGUAACGGGGCUAAACCAUGCACCGAAGCUGCGGCAGCGACACUAUGUGUUGUUGGGUAGGGGAGCGUUCUGUAAGCCUGUGAAGGUGGCCUGUGAGGGUUGCUGGAGGUAUCAGAAGUGCGAAUGCUGACAUAAGUAACGAUAAAGCGGGUGAAAAGCCCGCUCGCCGGAAGACCAAGGGUUCCUGUCCAAACGUUAAUCGGGGCAGGGUGAGUCGACCCCUAAGGCGAGGCCGAAAGGCGUAGUCGAUGGGAAACAGGUUAAUAUUCCUGUACUUGGUGUUACUGCGAAGGGGGGACGGAGAAGGCUAUGUUGGCCGGCGACGGUUGUCCCGGUUUAAGCGUGUAGGCUGGUUUUCCAGGCAAAUCCGGAAAAUCAAGGCUGAGGCGUGAUGACGAGGCACUACGGUGCUGAAGCGACAAAUGCCCUGCUUCCAGGAAAAGCCUCUAAGCAUCAGGUAACAUCAAAUCGUACCCCAAACCGACACAGGUGGUCAGGUAGAGAAUACCAAGGCGCUUGAGAGAACUCGGGUGAAGGAACUAGGCAAAAUGGUGCCGUAACUUCGGGAGAAGGCACGCUGAUAUGUAGGUGAAGCGACUUGCUCGUGGAGCUGAAAUCAGUCGAAGAUACCAGCUGGCUGCAACUGUUUAUUAAAAACACAGCACUGUGCAAACACGAAAGUGGACGUAUACGGUGUGACGCCUGCCCGGUGCCGGAAGGUUAAUUGAUGGGGUUAGCGGUAACGCGAAGCUCUUGAUCGAAGCCCCGGUAAACGGCGGCCGUAACUAUAACGGUCCUAAGGUAGCGAAAUUCCUUGUCGGGUAAGUUCCGACCUGCACGAAUGGCGUAAUGAUGGCCAGGCUGUCUCCACCCGAGACUCAGUGAAAUUGAACUCGCUGUGAAGAUGCAGUGUACCCGCGGCAAGACGGAAAGACCCCGUGAACCUUUACUAUAGCUUGACACUGAACAUUGAGCCUUGAUGUGUAGGAUAGGUGGGAGGCUUUGAAGUGUGGACGCCAGUCUGCAUGGAGCCGACCUUGAAAUACCACCCUUUAAUGUUUGAUGUUCUAACGUGGGCCCCUUACCGGGGUUGCGGACAGUGUCUGGUGGGUAGUUUGACUGGGGCGGUCUCCUCCUAAAGAGUAACGGAGGAGCACGAAGGUUGGCUAAUCCUGGUCGGACAUCAGGAGGUUAGUGCAAUGGCAUAAGCCAGCUUGACUGCGAGCGUGACGGCGCGAGCAGGUGCGAAAGCAGGUCAUAGUGAUCCGGUGGUUCUGAAUGGAAGGGCCAUCGCUCAACGGAUAAAAGGUACUCCGGGGAUAACAGGCUGAUACCGCCCAAGAGUUCAUAUCGACGGCGGUGUUUGGCACCUCGAUGUCGGCUCAUCACAUCCUGGGGCUGAAGUAGGUCCCAAGGGUAUGGCUGUUCGCCAUUUAAAGUGGUACGCGAGCUGGGUUUAGAACGUCGUGAGACAGUUCGGUCCCUAUCUGCCGUGGGCGCUGGAGAACUGAGGGGGGCUGCUCCUAGUACGAGAGGACCGGAGUGGACGCAUCACUGGUGUUCGGGUUGUCAUGCCAAUGGCACUGCCCGGUAGCUAAAUGCGGAAGAGAUAAGUGCUGAAAGCAUCUAAGCACGAAACUUGCCCCGAGAUGAGUUCUCCCUGACUCCUUGAGAGUCCUGAAGGAACGUUGAAGACGACGACGUUGAUAGGCCGGGUGUGUAAGCGCAGCGAUGCGUUGAGCUAACCGGUACUAAUGAACCGUGAGGCUUAACCUU
rnacentral:rRNA from 1 species